GACGAACGCUGGCGGCGUGCUUAACACAUGCAAGUCGAGGGGGCACCUUUCGGGGUGUCACCGGCGAACGGGUGCGUAACACGUGAGCGACCUGCCCGUCUGCGGGGGAUAGCCGGCCCAACGGCCGGGUAAUACCGCAUACGCCACCUGGGGGGCGAUCCUUCGGGUGGGAAACUUACUGGGGCGGGACGGAGGGGCGUCGCGGCCUAUCAGCUCGUUGGCGAGGUAACGGCUCACCAAGGCGAUGACGGGUA
rnacentral:rRNA from 1 species